GCUCUUAUAGUUCAAUGGAUAGAACAACCCCGUCCUAAGGGGUAAAUGUAGGUCCGAUUCCUACUAAGAGCA
rnacentral:tRNA from 1 species